CCCCAGUUCUUGGCACAGAGUAAGCACUUAACAAAUACUGUUAUUAUUAUUAUUCCUGCUGCAGCACACAAACACCCUGUCAGAGGACCAUAGAUGACCUGCAUAUUCUACAUGUCUGUCACACGGCAUCUUUUAUGGAACCAACUUCUUACCUUUGAGCCACAAGUGGGCCAGAGACUGUGUCUGAUCUAAUGACCGUAUAUCUACCCCAGCGCUGAGCUCACGGCUCUUUAAGUGACAAUGAACAUGACCUUCGUGCCGAGCUAUCCCAGAGAGCAGAAUAAUGAGUGAUAGUUCACAUUCCACUGCUUCAGAACGGGGAUUGAUUCACUACUCAGUUAGCAAGAGGAUUCAUCUAAAUGUUAUGAUUUGUAAUGUUGCAACAGGGAAUCAAUACAAUUUUUAAAAAAAUUGUUUAGGAAUUUCUUUGUAAUUUUGUGUCUUUAGAGAAAAUGGUAUUACUAUUUCUGGAAUUGGAGGAUUCCAUUAAAAAAAAUGAAAAG